UUCAUAUGAGCAGGUUAUGGUCUAAAAAUGACUGGUUACUGUUUAGGGAAAGCGACUAGUAAAUAGGUGGAUUAGUUGGUAAAUGCUAGAAAAGAAAGAAAAAUUACUGGGGAAAUUCAGAAAUUCUCCCAACAACUGACAUGUUUUCCCUUCGACCCGACCCUGUGACCCAACGGGUUAUCCGCCGUUCGGCCACUAAUCACCACACCGUUGGUGCCAUUUAAACCGCCUCUAUUUCCUCUUGAGAUCCUUGGUGGUGGUUUUGGUCGAUUUUGUGUUCGUGGUGCCGUAUGGAUUUUGACCAUUUUGACUGCGCCACCACUUGGGUUUAGAAGCCCUCCACUUCGCGGUCUCAAUGCCAUCAGUUUUGCUCUCCAAUUCAGACGAACACCGUCAGAAUCAAGCUUGGAAUCUUCGGACUGCCGAGACUAUGGAGGUCUCGACCUUGAUUUGGGGUUGAGAGAGUAGCGAGUAGCCGAGUAGGGUCGCGUUCCGCCUUAUCUCGUUGUGAUUUUUGACUCGUUCAACAAAGCUCAGUGAUAUAUGACUCGUUCAACAAAGCUCAGUGAUUUGAAUAUGUUAGUGUAAAUUGUUCGUCAAAAUCCGAUCGUUUGGGGAUCAAAUGAAAUUCUGUAGUUUCGAGUUUUCAGGUUUAUUUCAUUAUUCAAAUUUGAUUUUUGGUCCUUUUGUAAAUGGUUACGAAUUGUCAUUUUGGUCGAGGAUGACGAGUAGAGCCCUCGCUCAAGGAGGUUUUUGACAAACGGUGCCUAGCCGUUUCACA